GCGUCCCCGGAGCCCAUGAGCGCGCUGGCCUCCCGCGCCACCCCCGCCAUGCAGUCCUCCGGCUCCUUCAACUACGGCGCGCGCCCUAAGCAGUUCAUCGCCGCGCAGGAACCUCCGGCCCCUCUCGGGACACGGCACGCCUGCCUCCAGCCCCUGCUCGUCCAGCCUCCCGUUGCCCCUGUCCCCGACGCCCUGGCCGCUCGCUUGCGCGACCGCGCCGCCCCCUGGGGCUUGUACUCGCCGUCGCCUCCGCCGCCGCCUCCGCCGCCGCCGCCGCCGCCCCCGGUCUUCAGCCCUACGGCGGCCCUCCAGGUGCCCGACGUGUUCCCGCCGCCGCCGCCGCUCCCAAGCCCGGGCCCCGCCUCCCACGGCUUCUCGCCCGCCGCCCGCUUCGGCCACAGCCAGACCCCCGAGGCCUUCCUCAGCGCCCUGCUGACCUCGCAGCCGCCGCCGGCCGCCGUCAACGCCCUGGGGCUGCCCAAGGGCGUCACCCCCGCAGGGUUUCCGAAGAAGGCCAGUUAGGCCUGCUAGAAUAGCCUCUGAUGAGGAGAUUCAAGGCACAAAGGAUGCUGUUAUUCAAGACCUGGCACGAAAACUUCGCUUCAAGGAAGACCUCCUGAACAAUGGCCAGCCGAGGUUAAAAUAUGAAGAAAGAAUAGCUCCUCUACUGCUAGGUGCCGACAGUGCAACUGUCUUCAAUAUUCAGGAGCCAGAAGAGGAAACAGCUAAUCAGGAAUACAAAGUCUCCAGCUGUGAACAGAGACUCAUCAGUGAAAUAGAGUACAGGCUAGAAAGGUCUCCUGUGGAUGAAUCAGGUGACAAAGUUCAGUAUGGAGAUGUGCCUGUGGAAAAUGGAACGGCACCAUUCUUUGAGAUGAAGCUGAAACAUGAUAAGAUCUUUAAGGGAAUGCCGGUAACUGUCACAUGUAGAGUGGCUGGAAAUCCAAAGCCAAAGAUCUGUUGGUUUAAAGAUGGGAAGCAGAUCUCUCCAAAGAGUGAUAACUACACCAUUCAAAGAGAUCUCGAUGGGACCUGCUUCCUCCAUACCUCAGCCUCCGCUUUAGAUGAUGAUGGGAAUUACACAGUUAUGGCUUCAAACCCUCAGGGCUGCAUCAGUUGUACUGGACGGCUAAUGGUAUAGGCUGUCAACCAAAGAGGUCGAAGUCCCCGCUUUCCCUCAGGCCAUCCUCAUGUCAGAAGGCCUCGUUCUAGAUCAAGGGACAGUGGAGAUGAAAAUGAACCAAUUCAGGAGCGAUUCUUCAGACCUCACUUCUUUCAGGCUCCUGGAGGUUUGACUGUUCAAGAAGGAAAGCUCUGCAGAAUGGACUGCAAGGUCAGUGGGUUACCAAUCCCAGAUCUAAGCUGGCAACUAGAUGGGAAGCCCAUACGCCCUGACGGUGCUCACAAGAUGUUGGUGGGUGAGAACGGGGUGCACUCUCUGAUCAUAGAGCCAAUCAUGUCAUGCGAUGCCAGCAUCUACACAUGCAUAGCCACCAACUGUGCAGGACAGAACUCAUUCAGCCUGGAGUUUGUGGUUGCUGCUAAAGAAGCACAUAAACCCCCUGUGUUUAUUGAGAAGCUACAAAACACAGGUGUUGCUGAUGGGUACCCAGUGCAGCUGGAAUGUGGUGUAUUGGGAGUGCCACCACCUCAGAUAUUUUGGAAUCACUCACUCACAGCCCUGACGGAGUGAGCAUGCACCAGGACAACUAUGGCUACAUCUGCCUGCUCAUUCAGGGAACCACAAAAGAAGAUGCUGGGUGGUACACUAUGUCAGCCAGGAAUGAAGCAGGGAUUGUGUCCUGUACUGCCAGGCUGGACGUUUACACCCAGUGGCAUCAGCAGUCACAGAGCACCAAGCCAAAAAAAGUGCAGCCCUCAGCCAGUCGCUAUGCAGCACUUUCGGACCAGGGACUAGACAUCAAAGCAGCGUUCCAACCUGAAGCCAACCCAUCUCCCCUGACACUAAAUACUGCCUUGGUAGAAAGUGAGGACCUGUAAUCCAGCAUUCUUGUUAAAGCUGAAACACUGAAACAGCCAUUGCCUUGACCAGCAUAUUCCUUUGUCACAUUAUGUAAAAGGCAGAAACAUACCUUUGGCUAUAAAAAAAUUUAUAAAAAACACCAAAAUAAUAUUUUUCUUACUUGAUAUACCAAACUGAGAGUUUAAGUAGAUGAUGCUAAUAGAAAUAUACACAUUGCACAAAAAAUUCACAUUUACUGUCCAAUUAAAACUUUGGAAUUGCUGUGAUUAAAGUGACCUAAAAUGCCAAAAUACUAAAGGAAAUCAAUUGUUCACAGGUAAUCACAAGUUGUGUUAUCUACAAGUGCUUUAAACACAAGAUAUAGGUGCUGUGUAGCCUGACAGUGUGAAAUGUUUAAUGAGGCAGUUGUACCACAAACAAUACUACAAUGAUUCUGAAGUGCAGUGUAUUCAGACAGAUACAGCGAACUGACUGCAAUACAUAAGGAUGAAAAAAGAAGAAAUGACAAAGAAAUCCAAGUAAAUGCCUUGUCUUUUUGCCAAUGUUUUUAUAUUAAAUCAUAAGGAAGGAACUACUUGCCUUAAAUUUUAGUAAUAUCAAGAGUUUCUAAUAAGGUUAAUACCUUAGUUCUUAACAUUUUUUUCUUUAUGUAUAGUGUUUUCAUGCUACCUUGGUAGGAAACCAUAUUAAAAGGCUAUUUACAAACCAUAUUAAAAGGCUAACUUAAAUAUAAAUAAUAUAAAGUGCUUUGAAUAAAGCAGAAAUAUAUUACAGUUCAUUCCACAAAAAGCAACAAACCACCCAGAUGACCAAGGCAUAUAUAGUAUUUGGAGGAAUCAUGGGUUUGCAAGGAAAAGGGAAGAGAAUGAAGGAAAAUGCAACCAGCACAAUUAUAAUGUGUCCAUUUAGAUAAAAGUAGAAGGUGCAGGAGAGGUAGCAAAGGCCAGGCUUUUCUUUGGUUUUCUUGAAAAUUAAUCUUAAACACAGGUGAAAAAUACACCGCCAUUCACAAUUGGAGGAACCUAGGGCCAGCUGGAAGCAUGGAGCACACAUGCUGUGGAGAUUGUGGUGCCUGAAGUUCGGAUAGUAGUGGAAGAUUGUAGGUAUGCAAAGCAGGUUGAAAAUGGAUUGAGACUGCAAGGUAGCAUAAAUGAGAAACUGCCUGUAGGAUCUAGUCUACUUGAAGGAAGUGGAGAGACAAGGGGAGACAAAAACAGGUUUGUGCCAUAAGGCACUUUUUCAAAGGCACCAAGAUGUGGUGAGUGGAAUUAUUAGUUUACUUCCCUGCUGCCAUGAAACCUUACCUUGAGAAGGUACUGGAUUCCAAGGUUUGUAAAGGUAUCUCGGUAAAGACUGCUUUUUUAAUACACGUGAUUUUGCAUCAGCUAGACUGAGUUGAUUCUGACCAGACUUGAUGGUUUUAAGUUGGAACUGUUAAUUUUAAAAAGGAGGAAAAAUAAUUUAACCUAGUAGUAUAAAACAUGAGGCUUUAAUGGUACUUUGCUAUGAAAAGAAAACACUGUAUUCCUUACGUAAAACACAUAUAUCUUUCAUUAUUUAUAAUUGGCCUCUCUUAGCUCAGUUACUCAAUUCAUACGUAGUAUUUUAAAAAAUGAUUUUAUAUCUGUGUACCACCCC